AUAAGACUUGAAAAUAAAAAUUAAUAAAUUGAUUUGAGAACACAAAUAUUAACAUGCAAAAGAGAUUGAUUCAAUUGACAAAAGAAAACAAUGGAUGAAUGGAGUUGUUGGGGGUCUACAAUUUCAUCUUAUCCGCUCUCUCUUAUCUACUCCUCUUGAAUUAUUAGUUUGAUUAAUUAAUUGUCAUGCGACUUUCUUAGCCUACCCUUAACUCGAUCCCUCGGUGAAAAGAGCCUAAUAUUAACUACUGGCUUGCUAUCCCUAGCCUCCCCUAGCAAUUAAUACCGCAUUACAGAGCAGAAGUUAACGCAAUUGAUCGUCCUACCCCUAUCCCUAGGUGGUAUUGCAAAUUCAAGAAAUUACUCACCAGUUCAUGACAUUAUUGUACGUCCCCGUAUCAAUAAAGACAAUUAACAGUUACCGAAUGAGUUAAACGAUAAAGGCCUUAAGCACAGAUGAGAACCCAACAAUUAACAAUCAAACAUAUGAAAACCAUAUAAAUAAUCAACAGUUUCAAUAAAAGAGAGUAUCAAAAGAUUACAUUGUUUCCCCCAAUAACAAUAGGGUUUAGUUCACCAUAGACAUGGUGAAACUAGAUGAAAAAUGGAAGAAUGGAAAAGCAAACCCUAGAAAAGAUGAAAAGGAGCCUAAGCAUCCAAGAGAUCCUCUCCAGAGACCAAAAUCAGGUCUGGCGGUCCUCCACUGUCAAACGAAUGACUCUGAACUCGCAGUAGGGGUAUUUAUAGGUGAGGAGCGCAGCAGAAAACAGGCCUAGGACCAACGGACCACCGCCCAGCGGUUUAAGUGUGCCGCCCGGCGGUUUCCCAUAAUCCUCCAAACCGCCCGGCGGCAAUCGUCACCGCCUGGCGGUUUCCCUCACAACCGCCCGGCGCCAACGCCAAUGUCUACUCUUCGCCGUGGACCGCCCAGCGGUGUAAGUUGCCGCCAGGCGGUGCGUCGACUCUUCAAAUCUUCAGUCUGCGACCUUUAUCUUCAGCUCC
rnacentral:lncRNA from 1 species